rnacentral:lncRNA from 1 species
CCAGAAGGAUAUUAUUCAGAUUAAAAAAUGUUAGAAUAUAUUAGACAAACUAGAGAAAAUCAAGAAAAUCUAAAUAAUGAAAUUAAUUACAGAAACCGAAUUAGAAAAAUAAUAGAAGACCUAAAAGAAAAAUUAAUAUGGAUAGAAAAAACCUUAGAAAAUUUAGAUAAAAGUACAUGUGAUAGUUUAUAUAAUUUAAAAAACUCACUACGAGAAGAACAACACAAGAUAAUAAAUAACAUUGAAAAUCUAGAAUUAGAUAUA